rnacentral:rRNA from 1 species
UACGUAGGGUGCAAGCGUUAAUCGGAAUUACUGGGCGUAAAGCGUGCGCAGGCGGUUUUGUAAGUUUGUCGUGAAAGCCCCGGGCUCAACCUGGGAAUUGCGAUGAAGACUGCAAGGCUUGAAUCUGGCAGAGGGGGUAGAAUUCCACGUGUAGCAGGUGAAAUGCGUAGAGAUGUGGAGGAACACCGAUGGCGAAGGCAGCCCCCUGGGUCAAGAUUGACGCUCGAUGCACGAAAGCGUGGGAGCAAACAGGAUU